UACGGAGGGUGCGAGCGUUAAUCGGAAUUACUGGGCGUAAAGCGCACGUAGGCGGUUGGGUAAGUCGGAUGUGAAAGCCCUGGGCUUAACCUGGGAACUGCAUUCGAUACUGCCCGGCUAGAGUAUGGGAGAGGGAAGCGGAAUUUCCGGUGUAGCGGUGAAAUGCGUAGAUAUCGGAAGGAACACCAAUGGCGAAGGCAGCUUCCUGGCCCAAUACUGACGCUCAGGUGCGAAAGCGUGGGGAGCAAACAGG
rnacentral:rRNA from 1 species